CUUUUGGAGCGGCCGAUGUCUGAUUAGCUAGUUGGUGAGGUAAAGGCUUACCAAGGCGUCGAUCAGUAGCUGGUCUGAGAGGACGACCAGCCACACUGGGACUGAGACACGGCCCAGACUCCUACGGGAGGCAGCAGUGGGGAAUUUUGGACAAUGGGGGAAACCCUGAUCCAGCCAUGCCGCGUGAGUGAAGAAGGCCUUCGGGUUGUAAAGCUCUUUCAGCCGGAACGAAACGGUCACGGCUAAUACCUGUGAAUACUGACGGUACCGGAAGAAGAAGCACCGGCUAACUACGUGCCAGCAGCCGCGGUAAUACGUAGGGUGCGAGCGUUAAUCGGAAUUACUGGGCGUAAAGCGUGCGCAGGCGGUUUUGUAAGUCAGAUGUGAAAUCCCCGGGCUUAACCUGGGAACUGCGUUUGAAACUACAAAGCUAGA
rnacentral:rRNA from 1 species